CAAAAUUCACCGUUGGGCCGUCCAAUGCGAGGAGGAGGCACUUGGCGUGGACGCUGGGCAGAUUUGCGAUUAGAGGCAAACCGCCAGGCGGUGGCCCCCUGCCGUCAGGCGGUGGCGCGAUUAGGGGCAAACCGCCGGGCAGCAUAAGUGUGCCGCCGGGUGGUUGUCCGCUGGGCCUGGGCUUGUUUUCUGUGACACUCCUCAACUAUAAAUACCCUGUUACGAUUUCAUUCUCAUUCUUUUGACAAAAG
rnacentral:lncRNA from 1 species